rnacentral:rRNA from 1 species
GAUGAACGCUAGCGGCAGGCCUAACACAUGCAAGUCGAGGGAGAAGCCUUCGGGCUGAAACCGGCGCACGGGUGCGUAACGCGUAUACAAUCUGCCUUUCACAUAGGGAUAGCCCGAAGAAAUUUGGAUUAAUACCUAAUGGUAUAUAGGAGCGGCAUCGUUUUUAUAUUAAAGCUACGGUGGUGAAAGAUGAGUAUGCGUUCUAUUAGCUAGUUGGAGAGGUAACGGCUCCCCAAGGCGACGAUAGAUAGGGGUUCUGAGAGGGAUGUCCCCCACACUGGUACUGAGAUACGGACCAGACUCCUACGGGAGGCAGCAGUGAGGAAUAUUGGACAAUGGUCGGAAGACUGAUCCAGCCAUGCCGCGUGCAGGAUGAAGGUCCUAUGGAUUGUAAACUGCUUUUGUAAGGGAAGAAUAAGGGGUACGUGU